GAUGAAUGCUGGCGGCGUGCUUAACACAUGCAAGUCGAACGAUGAAGCCCAGCUUGCUGGGUGGAUUAGUGGCGAACGGGUGAGUAACACGUGAGUAACCUGCCCUUAACUCUGGGAUAAGCCUGGGAAACUGGGUCUAAUACCGGAUAGGAGCGUCCACCGCAUGGUGGGUGUUGGAAAGAUUUAUCGGUUUUGGAUGGACUCGCGGCCUAUCAGCUUGUUGGUGAGGUAAUGGCUCACCAAGGCGACGACGGGUAGCCGGCCUGAGAGGGUGACCGGCCACACUGGGACUGAGAGACGGCCCAGACGCCUACGGGAGGCAGCAGUGGGGAAUAUUGCACAAUGGGCGCAAGCCUGAUGCAGCGACGCCGCGUGAGGGAUGACGGCCUUCGGGUUGUAAACCUCUUUCAGUAGGGAAGAAGCGAAAGUGACGGUACCUGCAGAAGAAGCACCGGCUAACUACGUG
rnacentral:rRNA from 1 species